UGGUUGUCCUGUUGAUGGGUCAAUAAUUAAUUCUCCCGUAGUAUUAUUAAUUCUUCUGGCUGAUAAUAUAUUUUCUUUUAUUUCAUUACUAAGUAAUUUGUCCCACCAUGUUCUUAAUUCUCCUGUAAAUCCUAAUAUUAUAUUUUCUGCAGCUUCUUUUUCUGUAAUUCCGACUCUUUGUUUAUAAAUAUUUCCUACUAUUACCAUUUCUUUUGUAAUUUGUAUUAUUUCUACUUCUGAUCUUUCGUCAAUAUUCCAUUCAUAUAUAUUCUUUGCAUUAU
rnacentral:lncRNA from 1 species